AAUCUCUGCAGACCACUGGAAAAUUAAAGGAUGCGGAAUGAAUUGGAGAAAGCCGUAAAUAUCAUAUGGAACUCUCGGCUACCAUCACCAAGAUGUGUUGCAAUAGAUGCUGUUGUUGAGCUUGAUUUGGUCUCUGCUCUACAAGUGUCCGUCUUCCCUGAGCUUGUCUUCACUAAAGCUGGAAGGAUCUUAUACCGUGAGAGAGCCGAUAUAUAGUGAGAUCAAUUUGGUGGGAUAGCUGCUGCUCGGUGCUACAUACAUAAUUUGGUGGGUUGUUUUCAAGCAUUGUUUGAGGGCUUUGUUGUUGACAACUUCAGCGCACAGAAGGUGUUGAUUUGGGUUGUUAUUUUGGAUCUUCUACAAUUCUGUUUUGAAAGAUUUUUGUUCAUCUAUUUGGUGAGGUCUUUCCUCUUGUUUAUUUGUGAUUAUUUGAAAUUUACCUACGGGUGGUUUGUGAGACCAUUCGUGUCUCGUCUGUAAUCAUUUGGAAACUCUUUGAUUGAUAAUGGAAUCGGAUUUCGAUCCCGUGGACAUAUCUCACAUUGAGGGAACCACGUAAAAUUCUUGUAUUGCUUU